rnacentral:rRNA from 1 species
UGAACGCUAGCGACAGGCCUAACACAUGCAAGUCGAGGGGCAGCGCGUAAGAAGCUUGCUUUUCUGGCGGCGACCGGCGCACGGGUGCGUAACAGGUGUGCAAUCUGUCCAUAGUCGGGGGAUAGCCCAGCGAAAGCUGAAUUAACACUCCAUGUGAAUCGAAGCCGCAUGACUUUGAUUUGAAACGCAAGGACUAUGGGUGAGCACGCUUCUGAUUAGCUAGUUGGUGGGGUAACGGCUCACCAAGGCAACGAUCAGUAGGGGUUCUGAGAGGAAGGUCCCCCACAUUGGAACUGAGACACGGUCCAAACUCCUACGGGAGGCAGCAGUGAGGAAUAUUGGUCAAUGGGCGAGAGCCUGAACCAGCCAAGUCGCGUGAAAGGAUGAAGGUUCUAUGGAUUGUAAACUUCUUUUGUCCGAGGGUAAAAAAGGCCACGUGUGGCUUCUUGCAAGUAUCGGACGAAUAAGCAUCGGCUAACUCCGUGCCAGCAGCCGC